GGAGGCGUGGUGUAGCCGGCCUAACACGCGUGCCCGUCACGCACGAGAUCACGGGUUCGAAUCCCGUCGCCUCCGCCA
rnacentral:tRNA from 2 species